CUCCUUUAAGGAUCGCACCUGAAGAGUUUCCAGUCCUCUACCAGUCUCGGCUAUAGGAGGGAGAGUCAAGCAGAGACCUACCCACUCCAUUCCUAGCUUGGCCAGUGGCAAGCGAGUGGAAGGCAAUCUGCUACAAGU